rnacentral:rRNA from 1 species
AUUGAACGCUGGCGGCAGGCCUAACACAUGCAAGUCGAGCGGAUGAAGGGAGCUUGCUCCUGGAUUCAGCGGCGGACGGGUGAGUAAUGCCUAGGAAUCUGCCUGGUAGUGGGGGAUAACGUCCGGAAACGGGCGCCAAUACCGCAUACGUCCUGAGGGAGAAAGUGGGGGAUCUUCGGACCUCACGCUAUCAGAUGAGCCUAGGUCGGAUUAGCUAGUUGGUGGGGUAAAGGCCUACCAAGGCGACGAUCCGUAACUGGUCUGAGAGGAUGAUCAGUCACGCUGGAACUGAGACACGGGCCAGACUCCGACGGGAGGCAGCAGUGGGGAAUAUUGGACAAUGGGCGAAAGCCUGAUCCAGCCAUGCCGCGUGUGAAGAAGGUCUUCGGAUUGUAAAGCACUUUAAGUUGGGAGGAAGGGCAGUAAGUUAAUACCUUGCUGUUUUGACGUUACCAACAGAAUAAGCACCGGCUAACUUCGUG